CCGACGGUGAGAGGUGAAAGCUGGGGGGAGCAAACCGGAUUAGAUACCCGGGUAGUCCCAGCCGUAAACGAUGUGCGUUAGGUGUAUCGGUGACCACGAGUCACCGAGGUGCCGAAGAGAAAUCGUGAAACGUACCGCCUGGGAAGUACGGUCGCAAGGCUGAAACUUAAAGGAAUUGGCGGGGGAGCACCACAACAGGUGGAGCCUGCGGUUUAAUCGGACUCAACGCCGGGAAACUCACCAGAUAAGACAGCUGAAUGAUAGUCGGGCUGAAGACUCUACUUGACUAGCUGAGAGGAGGUGCAUGGCCGUCGUCAGUUCGUACUGUGAAGCAUCCUGUUAAGU
rnacentral:rRNA from 1 species